AUGUGGCUCUCCAUCUCCCUCGCAGCACACACAAAAAUUCAACCUCCUUCCCUUCGCUUGCGACGGCUACCGGAGCCCCUCCAUCUCAACGUCGCCGUGACACUAUCACCACAAACCUCUUCUUUGAUUUUUUUCAUUUCUACCACUUGGAUUCCAUUAUCUUCAAUGUCGUGCCAUUACUCGCACCUCUCGCGGUGGCUCGAUCUCUUCCCGCUUCUCACCGCUCUCUUCUUCAUUCGUUAUGCUCUUCUGAUCUUGCCUUCGAACCUCGAGGCUGAUAACAAGAACAACUGA